rnacentral:rRNA from 1 species
UGAUCCCUUCCCGAACUCAGAGGUGAAACGCUGCUGCGGCGACGAUAGUUUGGGGGUAGCCCCAUGUCAAAAUAGCUCGAUGCCAGGU